CACCAGGGAGCGACCAUAUGCAAACCCAAAGCAGCGAGUAUGAUGACUGAAAGCACAUUAAACCGUGACAGUGUUAAAGGCCUUUUACACUGCACGCGUUCAGGGUGUUAAACGAGAUGUGGAUUGCUCUUAAAAAAACACUCUUUUCAAUGAGAAUUGUCGCAUUUUGACAUGUCAUGGCGUAACGGUCGCGUUUCUUGUCAUCAAGCAGAAACAGUCAAAAUUCAACCCAAUCCAACUUUCACCGCUUUGUACUGACGUAGCUUUGCGUUGUCUAAUAGAAAUGAGGCAUCAAGCCAAAACACAGAAGACUUCAGU